rnacentral:lncRNA from 1 species
GCGCUCGGUGACCUUUCCGAGUUGGCUGCAGAUUUGUGGUGCGUUCUGAGCCGUCUGUCCUGCGCCAAGAUAAAAGAAGUAAGGCUUUGAAAGCUUCAGCGCCUGCUCCUGGUCAUCACUAACCAGAUUUACUUGGAGUACAUGUGAAAGAAAACGUCAGUCUGCCUGUAAAUUUCAGCAAGCCGUGUUAGAUGGGGAGCGUGGAACGUCACUGUACACUUGUAUAAGUACCGUUUACUUCAUGGCAUGAAUAAAUGGAUCUGUGAGAUGC